AGUGGAAGGGCCGUCGCUCAACGGAUAAAAGUUACUCUAGGGAUAACAGGCUGAUCUUCCCCAAGAGCUCACAUUGACGUGAAGGUUUGGCACAUACCAAUUUGCUCAUUUUC
rnacentral:ncRNA from 1 species